AGCGAACGCUGGCGGCAGGCUUAACACAUGCAAGUCGAGCGGGCGUAGCAAUACGUCAGCGGCAGACGGGUGAGUAACGCGUGGGAACGUACCUUUUGGUUCGGAACAACACAGGGAAACUUGUGCUAAUACCGGAUAAGCCCUUACGGGGAAAGAUUUAUCGCCGAAAGAUGGGCCCGCGUAAGAUUAGCUAGUUGGUGGGUAAAGGCCUACCAAGGCGACGAUCUUUAGCUGGUCUAGAGAGGAUGAUCAGCCACACUGGGACUGAGACACGGCCCAGACUCCUACGGAGGCAGCAGUGGGGAAUAUUGGACAAUGGGCGAAAGCCUGAUCCAGCAACGCCGCGUGAAGGAUGAAGUAUUCGGUAUGUAAACUUCGAAAGAAUAGGAAGAAUAAAUGACGGUACUAUUUAUAAGGUCCGGCUAACUACGUGCCAGCAGCCGCGGUAAU
rnacentral:rRNA from 1 species